rnacentral:lncRNA from 1 species
ACUCUUCUUUGAAAGAGUAGUAGGAGAGUUUAAUACAUGUCGCCAAAGUCGGGAGGCAGAAAUCACUUUGUAAACUAACCAAAAUAUACGUCCCCUCCAAAUUAUCCAUGUCAGAUAAAAAUAUACCAGUCUCUAGAAUAUCCAACGGAAUUGCAAAUAAGGCACUUAGCAUUUUAAAUUCCCAAUGCAUAUUUAUAGAAUACAAUUCUCUUGUCUACCCUUCAAGCCACUCACAUCUGACUCUCUAAGAACUUAACCUGAUCUCCGAUCUUUAAAGAAAAAGAGGUUGGGGGGGGGGGGGGGGGAGAGAAAAAAAAAAAUCCAGAAAGAUCUGUUUACCCUGGAUGGGGCAAGGGAGCCCGGCAUGACGACGGAGGCCCCCGGCACAGCCUGCACCGCAAGGACGCGGAGCGAGCGGGGGUUUCUACGAAGAAUUUCUCCUUUCCCCUGCAAAACACUAACCGUGGGGACCCCUGGAGCCGGCUGCUGCUCCGGGCCGCCUCCGGGACGAGCGCUCGGGGUCGCGAGGGGGCAGCCCCCGCGCCGGCGCGCGCUCGCACACCCGGGGUCCGGGUCCAUCCGCCGCGGCCGGGAGCGAGCCCCGGGGCGCGUGUGUGCGCGCGGGUGUCUGGCCGCGGCCGCCGGUGACCGCGCCGAGCUCCCGGGCCCGCGGCCUCCGAGCGCCGGGACGCGGCGCGGGCUGCGGGGCCUCGGGCCGGAGAAAGGCCCCGGCGCGCCCCGGCUCCCGCGCGCCUCUGCCCAAGUUGCCCCGGAGCGCCGCGCGGAGCGGGAGAAAGGAAGGCGCUUCCCCUCGGCCUCGCGGGUCAGUCCUGCCGCGGACGAGGACGAGGAGGAGGAGGAGGAGGAGGAGGAGAGGAGGAGGAGGAGGAGGCGGCCGCGGCGGCCCGGCUGUCGCUGCGCCGCGCACGGUCCCCGCCGCCCGGGGCGCGCCCUCGCCAGCCCCUCCUGCGAAACUUUUUCUUUUAGGUUCGCCCCACCCGAAAAGUGCGGCCCGGGAGGGGGAGGCGGGCAGCGCGGGUCCGCGGCGGCGGCGGCGGCGGCGGCGGCGGCGGCGGGCGAGGAGGAAGUGGUGCCCGCGGGAGCGCGGACGGGCAGAGGAAAUGCCCGGGCCGCUCGGCCCCCGCCCGCGCCCGCCCGCCCGCCCGCCCGCCCGCCGGCCCCGCGCCCGCGCCCGCGCCCCCGCCCCGCGGCCACUUUGGCGGGCCGAGCCCGGCGCGGCGGCGGCGGCGGCGGCGGCAGCUGUGGCCCGGCCGCCCGGAGGAGCCAACAAUGCGGGGCCGGCAAAACAAAAGGGUUCCACUUCGCCUCCCCUCCUUCUUUCACUUGCGCUCCCGGGGCGCCGCGCGGGAGCCCCGGCCGGCAGGGGCCGCUCCCCCGGGGGCCCCGAGCCGCGCGCGCCCCGGCCUCCCCGCGGACCCCGCUCCGCCCCCGCCCCCGCCCCCGCCCCGCACGCCCAGGCCCCGCGCGCUCGGACUCCCGGUCCCGGGGGAUCCGGCCGUAUUGUCCCCGCGGCGCGCCGCGCGCUCGGCCUGGGUCGCCGCCGGCCCCCGCGCGCGCACCCACCGGCCUCGGGGAGCAGGAGCCGGGGGCGCCUAGGAAACCGUCGCCGAGACGCCGCCGCCCCUCCCACCGCACUUGGAGACAUCUGUGUUCCUGGCUGGGAUCCCUCUGCGUGGGCUGCGGGCAGGCUGAGAUGGCCCGGGCGUGGAGCCCCGGCUCGGCGGGACAGUGGCAGGGGACCUGUCUGGUUGAGGCAGAGCUCAGCCACCCUGCAACCAGGAGUCAGAGCCAGGAAGAACAGCCGGCCUGCGGGAGCCCACCCCUCCCAGCUGCCUCUGGAGCCCUCAGCGUCUCCAGGGUCACCUGCCUGGGGCUCCCCCAAUCUCCCAGCCUCUUGGAGGGUCCUAAACCUCAGGCCAGAGACCGGAGUGAGGGAGGUGACAGAGUGUCUGUGUCCCCGCUCAAGGCCACGCAGCGAUCAGAGCCAGAUCUAAGAUUAGAUUGGGUAGGUUUCUGGCCUCCAGAUACACAGCGAAGCCCCAAACUCAUGCUGUGUCUUGGCAAAGCUCCUUCACGUUCCUCUAACUCAGACCCGCCCUAGUUUGUCUCUGGAAAUAUUGUAGCUGUCAUAAUCAUUGUUCUAAUAAAAUACUCAUCUGACGAUCUAUUAGUAAGGCAUAUUGUUGACAGGAAAUGUGCAUUUGCCAUAUUUCCCAUUAUAUUGUCUAUUUCCUGCCUCAUUUUUCUUGGGAGGGCAGGAGUCACUGGAGAUAAUAGCAUAUUGACAGAGAAAGCAAGGGAAAGAGAUGGUUGAAAGUGGGAGAGCUUAGCUCUGUCCGCCUGCAGAGGUUUCCAGCAGGAAAUCCACACUCAUUUCCUGUCCUCUUGCUAAAAUGGCAUCUGCCCCUUCCUACUCCUUCUCCCAUUAAACAAAUUGUCUCCUGGCCCUGAGAGGCUGACUCCCUGGUCAUAGGAUGGAGGCCCGGCCGGGUGUUUCUGGGGGCUGCAGUGGCAGGGAAAGGGGGGAGAGCUUCUGUAAGAAUCCAGAAGAGACUAUGAAAUGAGCUGUUUCCCUUGUACCACAAUCAACGAGACCUAAUGGAGGCUGGUGGAAUGGGAAGGUAGAAAGAACCCUGUUUUCUAGAAGCUUCUUGCCCACAAUCUGCUGUCUCGAUAUCAAAUGGCAAAUUGUGCAUCACCAGGAAAAAAACAACACUUACUGGUUGUGCAAAACGCAGUGGUGUGAGGGGAAAAUAUUGGUCAGUGGCCCCUUUCAGAGCGCCCACGGGGUGGGUGGGAACGGUUCCGCGGGGUGAUUGAUGGUCCCUCGGCAGCCCCGGCCUGCACUUGGGAAGCUCUGGUUUUGCAGAUCCCCGGCCCUGUGGGUUGUGGGUCCCCGGGAGGGUG